rnacentral:rRNA from 1 species
GUGGGGAAUAUUGGACAAUGGGGGGAACCCUGAUCCAGCCAUGCCGCGUGUGUGAAGAAGGCCUUUUGGUUGUAAAGCACUUUAAGCGAGGAGGAGGCUACUUAGAUUAAUACUCUAGGAUAGUGGACGUUACUCGCAGAAUAAGCACCGGCUAACUCUGUGCCAGCAGCCGCGGUAAUACAGAGGGUGCAAGCGUUAAUCGGAUUUACUGGGCGUAAUGCGCGCGUAGGUGGCCAAUUAAGUCAAAUGUGAAAUCCCCUAGCUUACCUUGGGAAUUGCAUGCGAUACUGGUUGGCUAGAGUAUGGGAGAGGAUGGUAGAAUUCCAGGUGUAGCGGUGAAAUGCGUAGAGAUCUGGAGGAAUACCGAUGGCGAAGGCAGCCAUCUGGCCUAAUACUGACACUGAGGUGCGAAAGCAUGGGGAGCAAACAGGAUUAGAUACCCGGGUAGUCC